GUUUCUAUGAAGAGCGGUGCAGUUAGCAAGUCACUGCUGUGUAACUAAAGAAAAGGCUGACUUAAUUCUUCUUUUCAGGGAGGUUAUCGAUGUAGUGCAGGAAAUGGUCAUAUAAAACGCACUCAGUUUGCUAAAUUCCAGUGGCCAGCUAUUUUGGGAAAUUUGUAUGCACAACUGUCAAACUCCUCUUCUGCCGCCUUCUGUAGUUUAAAUAUGGCAGCAAUGCCAGCAGUCAACAGACCAACUCAUCCAGGACCAAUUGGAGGGAACUUGCCAACUUGCAUUAAUGGCGGGGGACCAACCUCCUACCCUCAAGGCCCAGGACUGCACGGCACCAGCCAAGAUCCAGGACUUCCAUCCUAUCUCCAACACCCCAUGUCUGCCCGGCCAGUCUUCUACGUACAUGGUCCACCCCCACCCCCUUUCCUCCACUACCAGUGGCCCAUGCCCUUCUCCUAUAACCCGUUUGCCGGCUUCCCAGGCUAUGGUAUGGUAAUGCCCCAAUUCCAUCCACCCCCUCCUCCCUACAUGGAGGCACCAGCCUAUGUGCUUCCCAACACUCACAUGCAACCAGUAGACUACAGACGUUUCAUGCACCCCCAGGUUCACGCUCCCAGUGCACCUUAUCAGAACCCUAACCAGGGCCUCAGAGUCCGUCUGCCGUAUAUAGGCAAUGUUAGAGAAACUGUGAACUCUGAGGUCCAAACGGAACCUACGAGAAGAGGUGCUAGUAGCUACGGUGAGGAAAGCCCAGUCGUCAGUUUAGAUUCUGGCCGUGGUACUGCCUCAAAUUCACCUUUGAGCUCCACCUCUGAGAAACGAGGUACUGCUGAGGUUGACAACUAUACCUUACCCUGUCGUGACUCAAAUGACAACCAAGUAAAAGGGACCAGUGCAACUUGCACAGUCAAACACUGCUUUGACAUCCUCCAGCCUAAAGGAACAAAAACUGUCCAGGCACAUGUCAAAGCACCUCCAGAAAAGAAGCCGAGCCAUAAAGAUGAGGUCGAGCAGGAGUCUGUUCCCCCUUGCAGAGACUCUCACUCUAAUGUGUGGUCACUGAGUUCUGCAGAUGGACUGGAGCCGGUGUGUCGCUCUUCUCAACAAGAGGAGGUUGUCCUAGAGAGACGUGAAUCUGUUCCUGACAUUCUGAUGAGUUGGGGAGGUGGUACAACACAGACUACAAUUCUGUCGCUGGUGGAGAAGCAGCCUCUGAAUGAUCUUUCAACCGAAGUAGAUCAUCCAACUGAGACCGUAAAAAGUCCAGCUGUUGCUGGUGGUGCUUUCGCUAAUGAUGCUGAAGGGAACUUAAGCUCAGGGGACAGUACGACCCUUUUUAAGAUCCUCAAAAUGAGAGCAGCUCAUGAAGCACGAAAAGCUGAGUACAGAAGAGAAAAUGGGGGAUUGGUGGGGAAUGGUUUGUCCGGUUAAACAUUUACCACCCGAUGGAGAUGAACUGCUGUGUUCACUAAGCGAUUCAAUGGGGCAAGACUAUGGCAACUGGACAAAUUUACAGGAAGAGACUGCAGACAUUGUUCCCUAUCAAAUGUCUUUAAAUGGUGGUCAGAUAAAGCGAAAGAUGAAUGAGUCUGUUUGGUCUGUGGAAUCUCUGGCACCCUUUAUCCCCAGUAAAGAUUGGCUUAUGCAGAACAGCACGUUUGACCAUCAGGCAAUCGUUGAGAUGACAGAGGAAACUGAAAAUGGAGGACUGUCGACUCUGAACAACCCAAUUGUCAAAGCUGGUGAAGAGCGGAGUCAGACUCUUAUGUCUUCUGAUUCUGAUCUAAUGUUGGACAGCUGGCUCACUUUUAGUACCCCUGAUGGGAAGCGAAGUAUACCAAAGAAGCCAGAAACUGAGAGUAAAAUUGAUGCUUCAGAAAUUAAUAAUCCUUCUGACAAGGAUUCCUUUGCUUCCCAGACUCUCCUGCCACCAAGCAACAGAGCGCUAUCUACUGCCACUGAAGAGGAUGUGGAUAAAAAUAGGUCUUCUGAACCUGAGGCUAAUCAAAGCCCAAACCAGCAAUCGCUCUUUGUUAAUGAACAGCAGGAGAAAAGCCCCAGCUCACAGGAGCAGGAAGGAACGCUCCUCUUGAACUUUGGUGCAGGGGAGAAAAUCUCAUCAGUAGGCCAAAUAGUUCUUCAGAAAGGCGUAGAUGUGGCUGAGGAUGGAGCUUGUGGGAACAAAGUCAGUCAACCAAGUAAUGAGAAACUGUGUGUCCCGAUGGCAGAUCAGAAGAUUUCCGAAGUGUCUCCGUCAAAGGGACAUUUAGUGGACUGUGGCACUCAGUGCCAUCUCCAAUUACAGGAUUGCAAUUGCAAGAAGGUGGAAAACGACAUGGGAGCAGGCAGAAGGAAUCAUUUAAAAUGGGCAGAUAAGAAGGCAAUCACUGGCCAGGCCGAUGGCAUCAACAAGGGACAAUACAGGAAAAACCGAAGAAAAAUCAAUGGAGGAACAGAGGGCCAGAAAAGCAAAGCAGCCAACCGGAGCUAACUGAUAUGGUAAACCGGUGAAACGCCAAGGUGGAAAUGGAAGGAACACGUGGUACUGCACACUGACUGAAAGCUACAAGAAGGCUCUGGGUUUUAAUGAUUCAAUUAAAUGUUUUUAAUGUAUUUAAAUUAAAAAUGUAAUCUAUUUAAUAAAUUGUUUAUAUAUAUUGUUUUUCUUUUAUUAAAAAAUCAUGGUUCAUUUUUUAGUUUCACUUUAUUCAGAAUAAGUGAUGUGCAAACUAACUUUAAAGUAGGUUCUUUACAUUUUUAUUUCCUGACUUCCUUUAAAUUAUACUUAAACAUAACAUGAUAUGCUUGAGGCACUUUUACUUAAAACGGUGUCUUUUCUAAGUGACUCUGACCGUAGUAUAAAAUGUUACGAGCUGGGUAGAAGUACUGAGGACUGGGAAUGUCACCCUGCUUUUUAAGGAAAACUAAGUUUAAAUGAACUGUCUACUAGUCCACUUCGCUUGAUUGGGGUUGAAUGAAUUUAAUGUGCG